rnacentral:rRNA from 1 species
GGUACAUGCGGCGCAGCCUGAUGCAGCGAUGCCGCGUGAGUGAUGAAGGCCUUCGGGUUGUAAAGCUCUUUCGGCUGGGAAGAUGAUGGCGGUACCCGUAGAAUAAGCCCCUGCUAACUCCGUGCCAGCAACCGCCGUAAUAAUAUGUGCCAUCAUACGCGGUAAUAUUAG